GACGAACGCUGGCGGCGUGCUUAACACAUGCAAGUCGAACGGAAAGGCUCCAGCUUGCUGGAGUGCUCGAGUGGCGAACGGGUGAGUAACACGUGGGCAAUCUGCCCUGCACUCUGGGAUAAGCCUGGGAAACUGGGUCUAAUACCGGAUAGGACCUUUCUCCUCAUGGGGUUUGGUGGAAAGUUUUUCGGUGCAGGAUGAGCCCGCGGCCUAUCAGCUUGUUGGUGGGGUAAUGGCCUACCAAGGCGACGACGGGUAGCCGGCCUGAGAGGGUGAUCGGCCACAUUGGGACUGAGAUACGGCCCAGACUCCUACGGGAGGCAGCAGUGGGGAAUAUUGCACAAUGGGCGAAAGCCUGAUGCAGCGACGCCGCGUGAGGGAUGACGGCCUUCGGGCUGUAAACCUCUUUCAGUAGGGACGAAGCGCAAGUGACGGUACCUGCAGAAGAAGCACCGGCUAACUACGUG
rnacentral:rRNA from 1 species